UCCAGGGUAGCCUAGUGGACAUGGCAUCUGCCCAGUAAGCGGAACACUGUGGGUUCGAUUCCCAUAUGUUUUAAAAAAGGGAA
rnacentral:tRNA from 1 species